rnacentral:rRNA from 1 species
AACGAACGCUGGCGGCAUGCCUAACACAUGCAAGUCGAACGAGACCUUCGGGUCUAGUGGCGCACGGGUGCGUAACGCGUGGGAACCUGCCCUUAGGUUCGGAAUAACUCCCCGAAAGGGGUGCUAAUACCGGAUAAUGUCUUCGGACCAAAGAUUUAUCGCCUUUGGAUGGGCCCGCGUUGGAUUAGCUAGUUGGUAGGGUAAAAGCCUACCAAGGCGACGAUCCAUAGCUGGUCUGAGAGGAUGAUCAGCCACACUGGGACUGAGACACGGCCCAGACUCCUACGGGAGGCAGCAGUGGGGAAUAUUGGACAAGGGGCGAAAGCCUGAUCCAGCAAUGCCGCGUGAGUGAUGAAUGCCUUAGGGUUGUAAAUCUCUUUUACCCGGGAUGAUAAUGACAGUACCGGGAGAAUAAGCUCCGGCUAACUCCGUG